rnacentral:rRNA from 1 species
GGGAGCCGGAGGGAAACCGAGUCUUAAUUGGGCGUUAAGUUGCAGGGUAUAGACCCGAAACCCGGUGAUCUAGCCAUGGGCAGGUUGAAGGUUGGGUAACACUAACUGGAGGACCGAACCGACUAAUGUUGAAAAAUUAGCGGAUGACCUGUGGCUGGGGGUGAAAGGCCAAUCAAACCGGGAGAUAGCUGGUUCUCCCCGAAAGCUAUUUAGGUAGCGCCUCGUGAAUUCAUCUCCGGGGGUAGAGCACUGUUUCGGCUAGGGGGCCAUCCCGGCUUACCAACCCGAUGCAAACUGCGAAUACCGGAGAAUGUUAUCACGGGAGACACACGGCGGGUGCUAACGUCCGUCGUGAAGAGGGAAACAACCCAGACCGCCAGCUAAGGUCCCAAAGUCAUGGUUAAGUGGGAAACGAUGUGGGAAGGCCCAGACAGCCAGGAUGUUGGCUUAGAAGCAGCCAUCAUUUAAAGAAAGCGUAAUAGCUCACUGGUCGAGUCGGCCUGCGCGGAAGAUGUAACGGGGCUAAACCAUGCACCGAAGCUGCGGCAGCGACGCUUAUGCGUUGUUGG